UACACAUCGCCCGUCACUCUCGCCCAACUGCAGAGCUGCAGCAAGGGGAGAAAAGUCGUAACAUAGUAGGUGUACCGGAAGGUGCCCCUGGAAAAC
rnacentral:rRNA from 1 species